rnacentral:rRNA from 1 species
AGGCUGUCUCCACCCGAGACUCAGUGAAAUUGAACUCGCUGUGAAGAUGCAGUGUACCCGCGGCAAGACGGAAAGACCCCGUGAACCUUUACUAUAGCUUGACACUGAACAUUGAGCCUUGAUGUGUAGGAUAGGUGGGAGGCUUUGAAGUGUGGACGCCAGUCUGCAUGGAGCCGACCUUGAAAUACCACCCUUUAAUGUUUGAUGUUCUAACGUGGACCCGUUACCCGGGUUGCGGACAGUGUCUGGUGGGUAGUUUGACUGGGGCGGUCUCCUCCUAAAGAGUAACGGAGGAGCACGAAGGUUGGCUAAUCCUGGUCGGACAUCAGGAGGUUAGUGCAAUGGCAUAAGCCAGCUUGACUGCGAGCGUGACGGCGCGAGCAGGUGCGAAAGCAGGUCAUAGUGAUCCGGUGGUUCUGAAUGGAAGGGCCAUCGCUCAACGGAUAAAAGGUACUCCGGGGAUAACAGGCUGAUACCGCCCAAGAGUUCAUAUCGACGGCGGUGUUUGGCA